rnacentral:rRNA from 1 species
ACGAACGCUGGCGGCGUGCUUAACACAUGCAAGUCGAACGCUGAAGCUCAGCUUUUGUUGGGUGGAUGAGUGGCGAACGGGUGAGUAACACGUGAGUAACCUGCCUCCUUCUUUGGGAUAACGCCCGGAAACGGGUGCUAAUACUGGAUAUUCACUGGUCUUCGCAUGGGGGUUGGUGGGAAGGGUUUUUCUGGUGGGGGAUGGGCUCGCGGCCUAUCAGCUUGUUGGUGGGGUGAUGGCCUACCAAGGCUUUGACGGGUAGCCGGCCUGAGAGGGUGACCGGUCACAUUGGGACUGAGAUACGGCCCAGACUCCUACGGGAGGCAGCAGUGGGGAAUAUUGCACAAUGGGCGCAAGCCUGAUGCAGCGACGCCGCGUGAGGGAUGGAGGCCUUCGGGUUGUGAACCUCUUUCGCUCAUGGUCAAGCCGCAACAAUGGUUGUGGUGAGGGUAGUGGGUAAAGAAGCGCCGGCUAACUACGUG